rnacentral:rRNA from 1 species
CCUACGGGCGGCAGCAGUGAGGAAUAUUGGUCAAUGGCCGCAGGGCUGAACCAGCCAAGUCGCGUGAGGGAUGACGGUCCUAUGGAUUGUAAACCUCUUUUGUCAGGGGGUAAAGUGCGCCACGUGUGGCGUUUUGCGAGUACCUGAAGAAUAAGCAUCGGCUAACUCCGUGCCAGCAGCCGCGGUAAUACGGAGGGUGCGAGCGUUAUCCGGAUUUAUUGGGUUUAAAGGGGGCGUAGGCGGAAUGUAAAGUCAGCGGUAAAAUUUCGGGGCUCAACCCGGUCGUGCCGUGGAAACUGGCGUGCUUGAGUGAGCGGGAAGUAUGCGGAAUGCGUGGUGUAGCGGUGAAAUGCAUAGAUAUCACGCAGAACUCCGAUUGCGAAGGCAGCAUACCGGAGCUCAACUGACGCUCAUGCACGAAGGCGUGGGUAUCGAACAGGAUUAGAUACCCGGGUAGUC